rnacentral:lncRNA from 10 species
GGUGAUAGUGGUUAAUAAGGAGUGUGGGAUAGAGAGGCACAGAACAGCAGGCGAAAUUGCUGAUACAGGGACAUGUAGUCCCUGAAGUCGGCCACAUCAUCAUGUGCAGGCCAUCAGAUGAAACAUCUCCCAGAGGCUAAUUUUACUCAAUAAUGUAGGCAAAGUUUCAUGCAUGGAGUUUGGACGCUUCAGGAAUACUUGCUGCUGGGCAUUUUCUUCUUUCCCUCCAUCCUGGAUUGGCUUCGUCAAUCCCAAAUCAGAGUAAAGACGGUCCAUAUCCCUUUAUCUCAAUGCCAAAAUAAUAAAUAAAGGAAGUUAGUUCUGUGAGAGAUGAUAGGAAGUGGGUGACAGGGUCAGGGGCUGGGGUGUAGUAAUAGCGGAUGUUGAAAAGGUGACAGAGAUACUGUCACGUAUUGGAGUACCUCUUGUGCAUAUAACCAUAUUAAAACCUCCCAACAUUGACAAGUAUUUUCGUCCCCAUUUUACAAAUGAGGAAACUAAAGUGAAGAAGUUCAUUGACUUGCAUAAGGAAACAUUAUUGCUAAUUCUUCAUUCCUGUUUAAAAUCUGGCCUGACUGAAGACAGAGCACAAUGGACCGUGAAUUCAGAAGGACCCGGGCUUCCAACAAGGCUCUUGCCACAAAGCAUGAAUCCUGGAACCAGGCAAAUCUGGCUUGAAAUGCUAGCCCCUAGCUCCCAUGUGUGACUUCAGGAGCCACAACCUGUUUUGAGGAACAACCAACAACUGUGGGCCUACUGGAAGUUCAAAAGACGAUUGUUCCUGUUUCUGAGGUUGACAUCUAAAUGCAAGAAAAUUACAAUACGAUUUCAUACUGCACAAUCAUCAAGGUCUACAACUGGAACAGAAACAUUUUACAUACAAAAGACCUGAAGAUGAUAGCGUACUUGCAUAAUGAAGUGGAAAUCAUUUGACUUUCCAUGGCAAACCUGAAGACAAUGGGCAUGCAUUUUGAGGAGUGAAAAGGACCAUCUAGUGCUCCAUGGCAAACAGGUUACCAAGCCAUGCUCUAGAGCUAUACUGUCCAAACGGUAGCCGCUAGACACGUGGCUACCUAAAUUUAAUCAAAAUUAAAUAGCACUACAAAAAAAGUAGUUUAUUGGCACCAAUUACACCAGUUAAGUGAAAAACCAAGAUUUAUUAUAAUAGAGAUAUUACAGUAAAAAAGAUGUUAAGUAUAGAAUCUAGGUAGGGGUAGGCAUAUAGGUGUUCACUUUAUAGUUCUCAAGAGUUUUUAAUGUUUUAUCCUUUUCACGUUAGAAAAAAAUUGUUUAAAUAGCACCAUAAAUUCAGUUAUACAAGGCACACCUCAAGUAAUCAGUAGGCCUCAUUUGGCCAGUUGCUACCCUAUUGGACUGCACAUAGAACGUUUCCAUUAUUGCAAAAAAGUUAUUGGACUGCCCGACUCUAGAGCCUACCUGCUCAGGAGUCCUGGCAAGCCUUCAGAAACUAAUUAUUCCACCCAAAAUUCAGUGCUAACUUGUUCCUAGGGCAAGUGGAUUAUAACUACUGGAACAGUGCAACUUUUUAAGAGUGGGGCUUCAGAUGGAAGAAUAAAAGGAAACAAGGAACAUGGUUACUAAAAGUAAUGAAAGAGGAAAUCUAUCAGAAAGAGGUUGAAAGGAACUGGGAAACUGAAGUGAGACUCGUGGUCAAUAGGAGUUAAAAAUAUUUAUGUACAUUCAUACAUACAUAUAUGUUUGUCUAAAUGUUUAACAAUUUAUAAAGCUGAAAACUCAUUUAGUUCUCCCCCCUCCCCUACACACCAAAUACAUUGUGAAAUAAGGAAUAAAGACAUAAUCAAAGAUAUGCCUAACAUGGGGUAGACUGUACUCUUGUAACACUUUAGGACCUCACUGCUUAUAACUGAAAAUAUUUAAAUGUGAAUAAUCCCUGAGGGGUUUGUCAUAACUGUAAAAAAAAACUAGACCUUGUAUAAGCCCCCCAAAAUUAAAUCCAAUCAUGUAUGAAGGAAAUAAGGGACAAUCUACACUUGCCUUUCAUGGAUGGGAAUCUGGCUACAUAGUUCCACCUAAAGUAUCUUCUGUCACAGGAUAUAUCUACCAGAACAAUUUCUUAUUAUCUCUAAAGUGAAUUAGAGACAUAGCCUCCUGGAAAAAACAAAAAACUACUCUGCAACCAGGAUUUGGUAUGUUUUAUUAGAGCAAAUUUUUAACAAAAGGUGGCUUUCAUUUACAGA